rnacentral:lncRNA from 1 species
CUCCCUCCUCAAAGUUCUUCCCAUCUAUACUGGACUGGAGUUCACAGGGCUCCCAAUCCCAGAGGGUGAGCUAAACACGUAUCUGUGACACAGAGACCAUGCCAUCUCUGCUAGCAGGAAAGAGGAGGGCAGGAUGCAGGUUGACAAGGUUUCAAGAUUUUCCCAACUGGUUUUGAAAGGCAACCUGUGGAGUAUUUCACAAAUGAGAAAACAGAGGUUCCAAAAGUUACUGGAAUCCAUGUUCUUACCUUCUUCCUGGAUAUGAAGAGGAAGCAGUGUGGGCCACUUCAAAGGCCUGGUCUCGUCCUGUCUGCCUGGCUGGGAUUGCAGUGUUCCCUGAGCAGUCUUGGAAGUGACUUAAUGAGUUGGCAAAGGCUCUGUCAGUCCGAGUCCCUAGAUGACCAUCCUAGGGAGGACUGCUCCACCUACCUCUUGCCCAGCCCAGAACUAUGAACUGAACAGGAAAUAAACUCCCAAUGUGAUUA